CAAACGAUAGGAGAGCCAAGAUGGCUUCUGUCGAUAGCGCUUCCGACGCCCGCACCGUCAACAAUACCAUGCGCCACGCCUACCGCGUGUUGUCUGACGCCAAAAGGCGAACAUGCAGGCGAUCAAGGACGAGGGCCUAAAGUUUCACGAUCUCAUCGCUGGCAUGGGAAAUAGCCGCGAAAUCUCGCUCGCAAAGACGAAGAU
rnacentral:misc_RNA from 1 species